GAAUUUCUCAUUUCAGACAUUUUAUUUAUUUUUCUUGUAGAGGUGGGGUCUUGCUAUGUUGCCCAGGAGUUUGAGAUUAGCCUGGGCAACAUAAUCAGACCCUGUCUUUAUAAAAGAAAAAAUA
rnacentral:antisense_RNA from 1 species